CUCUGCUGUUGGUCAUUUAAAUUAUUAUCAGCUUUGAAAUAGCACCUGGCCCAACAAAGUCACAAAUGGGGGACCUGCACCUACAUGGAGGACUUCACGUGGGCAGGCACCCUGAGUACUUGGCUCCCUGUUCUAUCCCCAGCACCUGUGUCAGAGCAGUUGCAGCUGGACCUGAGAGACCAGGUCAGAACGCCCUUAGAAUGAGACAAAGAAAAAUCUGGACCUGGAGCGAGAGGAUGAGGACGACAUUAGGAAUCCAGUCACCACACAGUCGGAGAUUUGUUCAACUAACAGAUGAGGAGCCAGAAUAAUCAGAUAUUAAAAGAAAAGGAAAUGGUCUGCAGAGAAUAAAUGAGAAAUUAUGACUUGGGAGUAAAGGGUGAUACAUUUUUACAACACACAUGGGUUUAAGUUAGGUGGAAAAGAAAUAAAGAAACU